rnacentral:antisense_RNA from 1 species
UGGUUAGAUAAAUUAAUGUAUGUGAUUAGACACGACACAGGGCAGAGCUGAACGUUCCUGUUUUCUUCUGGAUCUUGAAGGCUGGUGAGAGGCCGCUGAAUGAGACCCAGCCUCGUGUUUUGUGGGAUGAAGAGAUGCAGACAAAGUGACUCAGGUACACUGAUGCUCCCUGGAGGGCUGGGAGGUGGGCUCAGAGGAAGAGGGCGAGCCAACAGUGUGCCAGCUUUUCCCCAACAGGCUAGGGCUCCAGCAGCUCCCCUCCUCUUCAGAACUGGUGCCCACACACUGUCAGUGUCCUACACAUACUCUCACUUGCUUUUCCUUUACAGCGUCUUUUCUCUAACUAACUUCACUGGUCUGAAAAAAAAAAAUUCUAAUACGUGCAGCACUUAUAAGUAACUUAUAAAUAUGGGAAGCUGUCAGAAGUUUAUAUAUUUUAAAACCAUGACAU